rnacentral:rRNA from 1 species
UUGAACGCUGGCGGCAUGCUUUACACAUGCAAGUCGAACGGCAGCACAGGGAGCUUGCUCCCGGGUGGCGAGUGGCGCACGGGUGAGUAAUACAUCGGAACGUGUCCUGUUGUGGGGGAUAACUGCUCGAAAGGGUGGCUAAUACCGCAUGAGACCUGAGGGUGAAAGCGGGGGAUCGCAAGACCUCGCGCAAUUGGAGCGGCCGAUGCCCGAUUAGCUAGUUGGUGAGGUAAAGGCUCACCAAGGCGACGAUCGGUAGCUGGUCUGAGAGGACGACCAGCCACACUGGGACUGAGACACGGCUCAGACUCCUACGGGAGGCAGCAGUGGGGAAUUUUGGACAAUGGGGGCAACCCUGAUCCAGCCAUGCCGCGUGCAGGAUGAAGGCCUUCGGGUUGUAAACUGCUUUUGUCAGGGACGAAAAGGACCGUGUUAAUACCAUGGUCUGCUGACGGUACCUGAAGAAUAAGCACCAGCUAACUACGUG